rnacentral:rRNA from 1 species
AGAAUCAACGCUGGCGGCGUGCCUAACACAUGCAAGUCGAUCGAGAAAGUGGAGCAAUCCAUGAGUAAAGAGGCGCACGGGUGAGUAACACGUGACUAACCUACCUUUUAGUGGGGGAUAACCUAGGGAAACCUGGGCUAAUACCGCAUAAUACUUACGAGUCAAAGCAGCAAUGCGCUGAAAGAGGGGGUCGCGGUCGAUUAGUUAGUUGGCAGGGUAAUGGCCUACCAAGACUGUGAUCGAUAUCCGGCCUGAGAGGGCGCACGGACACACUGGAACUGAAACACGGUCCAGACUCCUACGGGAGGCAGCAGUGGGGAAUUUUGCGCAAUGGGGGAAACCCUGACGCAGCAACGCCGCGUGGAGGAUGAAGUCCCUUGGGACGUAAACUCCUUUCGAUCGGGACGAUAAUGACGGUACCGGAAGAAGAAGCCCCGGCUAACUUCGCGCCAGCAGCCGC